CUUGCUAAUUAUUAUUAUUAUUAUUACUAUUUUGCAUUGUGAAAUGUCUGAUAGCAUCCAGUGACGGUGUGUAACCACAGCCUAAUACUCCCUGAAACGUCUGAUGCUGGAGCUGUGUGCAAGAACAGAAAGGAACCUUGGGAAAUGGAGUGACCCCUCAACAGAGUAGGCAGAAUUGACAUGUGCUGUGUCCUAACCAUUUCACUGGAAAGGAUAAACAUCUCUCUGGACUAGAAUCGACCUCCAGGGUUGGAAUCGAUGCCACCCACACAACACCAUGGGAUGAACAUAGAAGUAUUGCACAGUGCUCAACAAAAUGCUGUGUGUAACUGACCUGCUCACGCUCGGGGAAAACCAUUUUCCAGCUGGACAACGCUUUGUGCUUGCUUGCUUUCUCUGCAUUUAGAAGGGGGGGGGGG